CCUACGGGGGGCAGCAGUGGGGAAUAUUGGACAAUGGGGGCAACCCUGAUCCAGCCAUGCCGCGUGUGUGAAGAAGGCCCUCGGGUUGUAAAGCACUUUCAGUGAGGAAGAACGCCUGGUGGUUAAUACCCAUCAGGAAAGACAUCACUCACAGAAGAAGCACCGGCUAACUCCGUGCCAGCAGCCGCGGUAAUACGGAGGGUGCGAGCGUUAAUCGGAAUUACUGGGCGUAAAGCGCGCGUAGGUGGCUUGAUAAGCCGGUUGUGAAUGCCCCGGGCUCAACCUGGGAACGGCAUCCGGAACUGUCAAGCUAGAGUGCAGGAGAGGAAGGUAGAAUUCCCGGUGUAGCGGUGAAAUGCGUAGAGAUCGGGAGGAAUACCAGUGGCGAAGGCGGCCUUCUGGACUGACACUGACACUGAGGUGCGAAAGCGUGGGUAGCAAACAGGAUUAGAUACCCUAGUAGUC
rnacentral:rRNA from 1 species